GACGGCGACGUCAGAACGACGGCUAAACUGAAACAAACUAUUUGAAAGAAAUGAUUGUAUGAAAAUCUUGUCUUGUAUUUACUUUUGUAUGAAUUUAAAAUAGUUUCGAACGAGUAAAACAGACUAAUUUAACCCUCCGAGCGAUGUUGAUAAACUCUGCUAGAAAAACUAGCUAGCUGUCACUGCGUGAAAUGCUAGCGUACUAUACAAGACGUGAAAAUAUGCAUUUUGCCGUUGUCAACAGAGCUUGGACGACGUCGAAAACCUCUGUUAGACUUUUAAUUAUUCAUUUCUUUUGUACUAUAUGAUUAAUGUCAUUGUAUUGAUAGUCGUCGUCCUGACGUCGCCGUCUGACAUUCGUAAACUCCC